UAACCAUUCUCAAGCUACAUAAUUCUUAGGAAGCAUGUGGCAUGGAACUGAGUGUUCCCGGUAUGAGUGCUUCGGCGCUGUAACUGGGAGACUUGAAACUGAUCUCGCGGGAGCAGUGGUCAUUAAGGAUCAGCUCGUUGCAGGUGUACUAGUUGGAGGCGUCGCAAGACGUUUUCAUUCUUAGCACCAAUACGUAACGUUCAGAUCUGACAACUGUCACCGACGAACGCAGGAACUUGGAGGAGGGCGCAAGCCCAAAUCUUAAU
rnacentral:misc_RNA from 1 species